rnacentral:rRNA from 1 species
AUACGUAGGGGGCGAGCGUUGUCCGGAUUUACUGGGCGUAAAGGGUGAGUAGGCGGUUAUAUAUGUCAGGUGUAAAAAGCUAUGGCUUAACCAUAGUAAGCACUUGAAACUGUAUGACUUGAGUGCAGGAGAGGUAAGCGGAAUUCCUAGUGUAGCGGUGAAAUGCGUAGAUAUUAGGAGGAACACCGGUGGCGAAGGCGGCUUACUGGACUGUAACUGACGCUGAGUCACGAAAGCGUGGGUAGCAAACAGGAUUAGAUACCCUGGUAGUCCACGCCGUAAACGAUGAGUGCUAGGCGUUGGGCAGCAAUGCUCAGUGCCGAAGUAAACACAAUAAGCACUCCGCCUGGGGAGUACGUACGCAAGUAUGAAACUCAAAGGAAUUGACGGGG